CCUACGGGAGGCUGCAGUGAGGAAUAUUGGUCAAUGGACGAGAGUCUGAACCAGCCAAGUAGCGUGAAGGAUGACUGCUCUAUGGGUUGUAAACUUCUUUUAUAAAGGAAUAAAACGAGGCACGUGUGCCUUAUUCCAUGUACUUUAUGAAUAAGGAUCGGCUAACGCCGUGCCAGCAGCCGCGGUAAUACGGAGGAACCGAGCGUUAUCCGGAUUUAUUGGGUUUAAAGGGAGCGUAGAUGGGUUGUUAAGUCAGUUGUGAAAGUUUGCGGCUCAACCGUAAAAUUGCAAUUGAUACUGGCAGUCUUGAGUAUAGUUGAGGUAGGCGGAAUUCGUGGUGUAGCGGUAAAAUGCUUAGAUAUCACGAAGAACCCCGAUUGCGAAGGCAGCUUACUAAACUGUGACUGACAUUGAUGCUCGAAAGUGUGGGGAUCAAACAGGAUUAGAUACCCUUGUAGUC
rnacentral:rRNA from 1 species